AGUAAUCAAUGUUCCAAUACAAAUUUGAAUAGUGGAGAUCAUUAGAAGAUAAUUAGAAGAUAGUGUUUUUGUGUGUCUGUAGGUCAGUCUUGCAGGCCUGCAGUUCUGCUCUCUGUGUCCUGAUCUUCCUGACCACUACACUAAGUACUGUAUCAGGUGGUUCUCCAGUGAAGGUGAAGCUUCAUGACUCUGCUACUCUGUCCUGCUCUGUGAGAUGCUCUGGUUUAGCGAGAUGGACUGUGUUCCACAAACGCAGUGACACUCUGGCUGAGUGUGAUCAGACUUCAUGUAGAUCAGUGAAGGAGGGAUAUCAGAUGAUCCACGAUGAGUACCUGAAGGGGAAUCUCUCUCUCAUCACCACCGAUGCUGAUUUCAGUAAGAGAGGCUGGUACACGAGUGACUGUGAUGAUAAAGACAUCUGUGAUGUGCAUCUUCAAAGUGAGCCCUUGAAAUCUACAGUUCAGGUAAGGCCUGGUGAAUCUCUGGUGCUGAGGUUAGAUGUAUCAGAUCCAGUGAAGGUGCUUUAUAAUAGCACAGAUGCAGCUGGACCAUCCAGUGGUCAGAUCUGA
ensembl:lncRNA